rnacentral:rRNA from 1 species
UACGAAGGGGGCUAGCGUUGUUCGGAAUUACUGGGCGUAAAGCGCGCGCAGGCGGUCUUCCAAGUCAGUGGUGAAAGCCUGGAGCUCAACUCCAGAACUGCCAUUGAAACUGUUAGACUUGAGUACGAGAGAGGUGAGUGGAAUUCCCAGUGUAGAGGUGAAAUUCGUAGAUAUUGGGAAGAACACCCAGUGGCGAAGGCGGCUCACUGGCUCGUAACUGACGCUCAGGCGCGACAGCGUGGGGAUCAAACAGG